rnacentral:rRNA from 1 species
GACGAACGCUGGCGGCGUGCUUAACACAUGCAAGUCGAACGGAAAGGCCCUGCUUUUGUGGGGUGCUCGAGUGGCGAACGGGUGAGUAACACGUGAGUAACCUGCCCUUGACUUUGGGAUAACUUCAGGAAACUGGGGCUAAUACCGGAUAGGAGCUCCUGCUGCAUGGUGGUGGUUGGAAAGUUUCGGCGGUUGGGGAUGGACUCGCGGCUUAUCAGCUUGUUGGUGGGGUAGUGGCUUACCAAGGCUUUGACGGGUAGCCGGCCUGAGAGGGUGACCGGCCACAUUGGGACUGAGAUACGGCCCAGACUCCUACGGGAGGCAGCAGGGGGGAAUAUUGCACAAUGGGCGGAAGCCUGAUGCAGCAACGCCGCGUGCGGGAUGACGGCCUUCGGGUUGUAAACCGCUUUCGCCUGUGACGAAGCGUGAGUGACGGUAAUGGGUAAAGAAGCACCGGCUAACUACGUG